GAUUAUGGCUCAGGACGAACGCUGGCGGCACGCUUAACACAUGCAAGUCGAACGGAGUUAUCGAGAGCUUGCUUUGAUAACUAGUGGCGACGGGUGAGUAACACGUGAGCAAUCUGCCCUUAAGAGGGGGAUAGCAGUUGGAAACGACUGAUAAUACCGCAUAAGAUAGUAGUACCGCAUGGUACAGCUAUAAAGAUUUAUCGCUUAAGGAUGAGCUCGCGUCUGAUUAGCUAGUUGGUGAGGUAACGGCUCACCAAGGCAACGAUCAGUAGCCGGACUGAGAGGUUGGACGGCCACAUUGGGACUGAGACACGGCCCAGACUCCCACGGGAGGCAGCAGUGGGGAAUAUUGCACAAUGGAGGAAACUCUGAUGCCAGCGAUGCCGCGUGAGGGAAGAAGGUUUUAGGAUUGUAAACCUCUGUUGACAGGGACGAUAAUGACGGUACCUGUUGAGGAAGCUCCGGCUAACUACGUGCCAGCCGCUGC
rnacentral:rRNA from 1 species